rnacentral:tRNA from 1 species
UUAAUUGAAACCAAAAUAGAGGUAAAUUAUUGUUAAUAAUUAAAAUGAAUUAAUCUGUUCCAAUUAAA